UGGGGAAUUUUGCGCAAUGGGGGAAACCCUGACGCAGCAACGCCGCGUGGGUGAUGAAGGCCUUCGGGUCGUAAAGCUCUGUCUGGAGGGAAGAAAUGAUUGGGAGCUAAUACCUCUUGAUCUUGACGGUACCUCUGAAGGAAGCACCGGCUAACUCCGUGCCAGCAGCCGCGGUAAUACGGAGGGUGCAAGCGUUGUUCGGAAUUAUUGGGCGUAAAGCGCGUGUAGGCGGUCUUUUAAGUCUGAUGUGAAAGCCCCGGGCUCAACCUGGGAAGUGCAUUGGAAACUGGGAGGCUUGAGUACGGGAGAGGAGAGUGGAAUUCCUAGUGUAGGAGUGAAAUCCGUAGAUAUUAGGAGGAACACCGGUGGCGAAGGCGGCUCUCUGGACCGAUACUGACGCUGAGACGCGAAAGCGUGGGUAGCAAACAGGAUUAGAUACCCU
rnacentral:rRNA from 1 species